rfam:Fibrobacter sp. TWEL genome assembly, contig: Ga0136282_110
CACCCGUUCCCAUUCCGAACACGGCAGUUAAGCCCUGCAUCGCCGAUGGUACCUGGCCUACGGGUCCGGGAGAGUAGGUCGCCGCUGGAU